rnacentral:rRNA from 1 species
UACGGAGGGGGCUAGCGUUGUUCGGAAUUACUGGGCGUAAAGCGCGCGUAGGCGGACCUGCAAGUCGGGGGUGAAAGCCCGAGGCUCAACCUCGGAACUGCCUUCGAUACUGCGGGUCUCGAGUCCGGGAGAGGUGAGUGGAAUUCCUAGUGUAGAGGUGAAAUUCGUAGAUAUCUGGAGGAAUACCGGUGGCGAAGGCGGCAUCCUGGACCGGCAUUGACGCUGAGUGAGCGAAAGCUAGGGGAGCAAACGGG